GGCGGACGGGUGAGUAAUGUCUGGGAAACUGCCUGAUGGAGGGGGAUAACUACUGGAAACGGUAGCUAAUACCGCAUAACGUCGCAAGACCAAAGAGGGGGACCUUCGGGCCUCUUGCCAUCGGAUGUGCCCAGAUGGGAUUAGCUAGUAGGUGGGGUAACGGCUCACCUAGGCGACGAUCCCUAGCUGGUCUGAGAGGAUGACCAGCCACACUGAACUAGACUGCU
rnacentral:rRNA from 1 species